UAAUAAAAAUUAAGUUUACUAUUUAUAAAUAUGUAAUUUUUUCAUCUUUUAACUCGAGACCUUCCAAAUAAAGUCAUAUGCUUAUUCAGAUAACGAGAACUUGCUUCUAUAAAGAUUUGAAAAAUUAUACACAACUAAUGGGGAUUUACUUUUACAUCACACACAACAGAACUCGAACAAAACAAGGGAAACGAUAUGUAAAAAAAAAAAAAAAA
rnacentral:misc_RNA from 1 species